CAUUGAAACAUUGAUUUCCGUGCGACCACCGAAAUUAAGCAACAUCGGACCUGUUCAGUACCUAGAUGGGUGACCGCUUGGGAAUACUCGGUGCUGUAA